AGGCGCGUCUAGUGGUCGACACAGUACUCCGGUCCGACCGGUCGGACUGGAAGAUUACCGCCGCGGACGCGCGCCGGUCGUUUCCUUGGCGCGGGCCGCCGCGCUGCUUCUUCCGCAGUCCGCCCGCCCGCCCCCCUUCUACUUCCACCCUACCCGAGAGAGGUCGGAAUGGCACUCGUCGCGUGCCCGCGCUGCAACAUAACCCCGCCCCAAGCCUCCGCUUGCGGAAUCCGCUGCCUACUCCGCGCGCCGAGAUCUGCAGCGUCCAGGCCCCCGCCGUGGCGUCUCCGCCGCAGCCGCGCCAUGGCCGUCUACGAAGGCUGGCACUCUGCUGCCGCAGGCGCAGACACCGAUGGAGGCGCUCCAGCUCCUCACGUGCCCCCGUCGCUGCUCGUUUUCUCAGGCGGGACAGCAUUUAACGGUGUUGUUGAAGAAUUGAAGAAAGUCACUACUCGAGUCGCGCACGUGCUCCCUGUUUCUGAUGAUGGUGGAAGCACUGCUGAGAUUGUGCGUGUGCUUGGCGGGCCUGCUGUGGGAGACAUAAGAUCAAGAUGUUUGAGGUUGUCUGAUGAAAGUACUGCAGAAGCUCUUUCUGUUCGAAAAUUGCUUGGGCAUCGUUUGCCUAUUGAUCCUUCAGAGGCAAAGCUGGAAUGGUACCAGAUUGUAGAAGGAGACCACACUUUAUGGGAGGGAGUCUCUCGUCCAUACAGGGAAACAAUUCGUGCCUUUUUGGUCUACUUUCACAGUGAGAUACUUCGACGGUCAGCUGAAAUGUUUUGCUUCACCAAUGGCAGCAUUGGAAAUUUCUUUUUUGCUGGGGCACGCAUAUUCUUCCAGUCGUUGGAUGCUGCAAUUUUUUUGUUUUCACGCGUAUCACAGAUCCCAGCAGAAAGUCUUGUGCUUCCUGUUAUAUCCACAAAUGACAGACUUACUCUGGGAUGUGAACUAUGGGAUGGGACUAUCAUUCGUGGCCAAAAUGAAAUAUCACAUCCAAGCAAUGGACGCCGAGAAAUUGUCAACAAGGAUUGUAAUUCAUGUAGCACACUUCCUUCAAGGAUCAAGCGUGUGUUUUACAUGUCAAGUGAAGGCAGCAACCUAUUGCAUGAGGUUUUCCCUGAAGUUAACCAUACAGUUUUGGAGCAGCUAAGUAAGGUGGACUGCAUUGUCUAUGCUAUGGGAUCACUCUUUACAUCAGUCUGUCCAUCACUGGUAUUACGUGGCAUUGGUGAGACUAUAGCAUCAAGAUCCAUCCCCAAGGUAUCUAACUAUGCUAAGACCAGAUUAGUUUGUCUAGUUGAUGUUUGGCUAGAAAGAUGCUCUGAAGUGGCGAGCCUUAAAUAUACUUCUUCUGAAUGGGUCACAUGACAGAGAGACUGCUGGGCUGUCUGCCUCUGGUUUUGUCACUGCAAUUACCGAUUCUCUAAAUCGGACUUAUGGCGACCCUCACAAAAGCUUAAAGAAUCAUACCAAUGACUAUGUAAAUGCUAUAUUGGUUCCAGAAGGAGGCCAAGUUCCUUUAGAUAUUGAAAAUUUGGCAGCUCAGGGAAUUUUUCAUGUGGUAACCGUGAAGUCUAUUCAUGACCCUAAAGUUGGCGUCAUAUUUGAUGCACGGUCAUUGAUCCAAGCCCUAACCAUUCUCAUAUCUGAACAUAUGGAUAUGUGUGUAUCAAAAGUUCAGAACGUGGUCAUGUAACUGAAAAUGUAAAAGUUGUAAGCUGAUCUUUCAAGUACAAAAAUGAAUGUAAAGUCCCUCUUAACAAUUUAUUGUUUUACUAAUCGAUCCAUAGUGCGAAUACUCAUGUUUUUAUUUCAGCUAGCACUAGUGUUGCAAUUCUGCCUGACUUGACAUGAUUAAUGAAAAAUGAGACAUGUAUUUUUCAA